CUUUUGACUUCCGAUUUGAGCACCGAGACGAGCGCCGAUCAUCUUUUCGAUCACGUAUCUAAGUCCUUUUGGGAAGUAACGACUUGAGGGAGAGAGUGACGUUACUCAUUGAUACAGAGACACAACGAGGUUGAGCUGAUGUGAUGAUGGUGCUGCAAUGAGCGGAGUCUCCAGGGUUGUUAAUAAAUAGUUAACCUGUCUAGAAUAUGUCUUCAUACAUAUGUCUAGCUACUUUCCGCUGCAAGAUGUUGUUGAUGUUAUAGUAUGUUAUGUCAUACUUUGAGUCUUAAGAGAAUGGUUUCAUAUGAUGUAUAACUUGAUUAAUGAUAUUAAUUAAGUUUUAUGUUGUCUUUCAUAGACUGUUCAAAAGAGUAUUAAUGAGUAAAUACGACGAUUUUUCUUAGGUUGAGUAAGAUUUACGGUUUCAAAUGACGCCCCUUUCUUUCCCUUA